CACGUGACACGGCAGAAAGAUGGCAGUCUAGACGGUCGUCUGGGUGUCGACUGCAAUGUUGUUUACAGUUUAUAUGAAUUCGUUUUGCAACACUUACUCCAUAACCACACCAUUUGAGUAUGAUAAACAAUCGUCAAAGGGACGUUUUGUCGAUGACAAUAAAGUUCAAUGAGCAGUGGUUUGAUGCAAGCCUCAAAUGAUUUAUGAACACUAUUUUCUCCUCCAGAGGAUGCAGAACGAUGUCUUAUAUCGCUGUUGCAGUUAGAAAUAAGAAAUUGCACCGAAGAAGCGUUCUCAGGGAGCCUAUGUUCUGAAAGAUUGGACGAAACUCCUUUCCCUAAUCUAGUAUACAAUGGGCUUCAUCCACACACACAAUGACUUCCUCAUCUCUGUGGAUGAUAGAUGAAAGACAACCAAAUCCCCCUUUUGUGACCAAAAAUGUACUUUACACUUGAAAUGUGUUCUGUGCUAGAAAAGUCAUCUGAAAGCGUAAUAGCUAGAGAGCCUAACUUUUCAAUUGCCUGAUUGAUGAAAGCAUUUAAUGGGCUAAAAAUGACACAUUUUUUGAAUAAAUUUUUUACCACAAUG